CAGGUGUAGUUCAAUGGCAGAAUAUCGGCUUCCCAAGCCGACUACGAGGGUUCGAUUCCCUUCACCUG
rnacentral:tRNA from 2 species